UUAAAGUUUUAUUUUGGCUUAAAAAUUUGUUAUUAAUUUGUUUUAUAUGUAAAUUUUUGUGAGAGCUAUAAUUUAUUUAAAUAGUAAUUUAUGUUUAUUUAAUCGCAGUAAUUGAUAUUAUAUAUUAAAGAAAUUUAGAUAUAGUAAUAUUAUUAAGUAUUAACAAAAUUUGUGCCAGCAGUUGCGGUUAUACAAAUAAUACAAAUAAAUUUUUUUAGUAAAAGUUAAAUUAAUUAUUUAUUAAGAAUUAAAUUUAUUAAGUGAAAUUUUAAAUUUAAAAAUUAUAGAUAAAAGAAUGAUUGAAGCUUGUAAAUUUUAAUAUUAAACUAGGAUUAGAUACCCUAUUAUUUAAAAUGUAAUUAUUUUAUUAAGGUAGUAAUAGUUAUGUUCUUGAAACUUAAAAAAUUUGGCGGUAUUUUAGUCUAUUCAGAGGAACCUGUUCUGUAAUUGAUAUUCCACGUUGGACCUUACUUAAAUUUGUUUUGCAAUUUAUAUACCGUUGUUAUUAAAAUAUUUUAUAAAAAAGAUAAUAUUUAAUUUUUUGGAUAAAAAUUUAUAUCAAAUCAAGGUGUAGUUUAUGUUUAAGUAGAAAUGGGUUACAAUAAAUUUAUUUUUGGAUAUAAAUAUGAAAAAUUUAUUGAAAUUGGAUUUGAUAGUAAAAUUAUAAAGAUUAAUAAUUUGAUUUUAGCUCUAAAAUAUGUACAUAUCGCCCGUCGCUCUUAUUUUUAAAGUAAGAUAAGUCGUAACAUAGUAGAUGUACUGGAAAGUGUAUCUAGAAUAAC
rnacentral:ncRNA from 1 species